rnacentral:rRNA from 1 species
AGCCCGCUCAGAAACUACAAAGGAAUUGACGGGGGCCCGCACAAGCGGUGGAGCGAUGUGGUUUAAUUCGAUGAUACGCGAGGAACCUUACCUGGGCUCAAAUGUAUGUUGACGUAUUCUGAAAGGGAUACUUCUUCGGACAAUAUACAAGGUGCUGCAUGGUUGUCGUCAGCUCGUGCCGUGAGGUGUCGGGUUAAGUCCCAUAACGAGCGCAACCCCUAUCAUUAGUUGCCAUCAGGUCAAGCUGGGGACUCUAAUGAAACUGCCUACGCAAGUAGUGAGGAAGGUGGGGAUGACGUCAAAUCAGCACGGCCCUUACGUCCAGGGCUACACACGUGCUACAAUGGCCGGUACAAAGGGCAGCUACCUGGUGACAGGAUGCUAAUCUCAAAAGCCGGUCUCAGUUCGGAUCGGAGUCUGCAACCCGACUCCGUGAAGCUGGAAUCGCUAAUAAUCGCGCAUCAGCCAUGGCGCGGUGAAUACGUUCCCGGGCCUU